CCUGGUAGUUCCUGCCAGUAGCCAUAUGCUUGUCUCAAAGAUUAAGCCAUGCAUGUGUAAGUAUGAAUAAAUUCAGACUGUGAAACUGCGAAUAGCUCAUUAAAUCAGUUAUAGUUUGUUUGAUGGUAUCUACUACUCGGAUAACUAUAGUAAUUCUAGAGCUAAUACAUGCAACAAACCCCGACUUCUGGAAGGGAUGCAUUUAUUAGAUAAAAGGUCGACGCGGGCUCUGCCCGUUGCUACGAUGAUUCAUGAUAACUCGACGGAUCGCACGACCAUCAUACCAGCGAUGCAUCAUUCAAAUUUCUGCCCUAUCAACUUUCAAUGGUAGGAUAGUGACCUACCAUGGUGGUGACGGGUGAUGGAGAAUUAGGGUUCGAUUUCGGAGAGGGAGCCUGAGAAACAGCCACCACAUCCAAGGAAGGCAGCAGGCGCGCAAACUACCCAAUCCUGACACGGGGAGGUAGUGACAAUAAAUAACAAUACCGGGCUCAAUACGUUUGGUAAUUGGAAUGAGUACAAUAUAAAUCCCUUAACAAGGAUUUAUUGAAGGGCAAGUCUGGUGCCAGCAGUCGCAGUAAUUCCAGCUCCAAUAGCGUAUAUUUAAGUUGUUGCAGUUAACCAUAAACGUCCUAGUCUCUACCAUAAACGAUGCCGACCAGGGAUCAGCGGAUGUUGCUUUUAGGACUCCACCGGCACCUUAUGAGAAAUCAAAGUUUUUGGGUUACGGCGGGAGUAUGGUCGCAAGGCUAAAACUUAAAGGAAUUGACAGAAGGGCACCACCAGGAGUGGAGCCUGCGGCUUAAUUUGACUCAACACGGGGAAACUUACCAGGUCCAGACAUAGAAAGGAUUGACAUACUGAGAGCUCUUUCUUGAUUCUAUGGGUGGUGGUGCAUGGCUGUUCUUAGUUGGUAGAGCGAUUUUUCUGGUUAAUUCUGUUAACGAACGAGACCUCAGCCUGCUAACUAGCUAUGCGGAGGUAUCCCUUCGCGGCCAUCUUCUUAGAGGGACUACGGCCUUUUAGGCCAUGGAUGUUUGAGGCAAUAACAGGUCUGUGAUGCCCUUAGAUGUUCUGGGCUGCACGCGCACUACACUCAUGUAUUCAACGAGUUUAUAGCCUUGACCGACAAGCUCGGGUAAUCUUUGAAAUUUCAUCGUGAUGGGGAUAGAUCAUUGAAAUUGUUGGUCUUCAACGAGGAAUUCCUAGUAAGCGCGAGUAAUCAGCUCGCGUUGACUACGUCCCUGGACUUUGUACACACCACCCGUCGCUCCUACCGAUUGAUUGAUCCAGUGAAAUGUUCGGAUCGCGUUGACGUAGGCGGUUCGCUGCCCGCGACGUCCCGAGAAGUACAUUGAACCUUAUCAAUGAGAGGAAGGAGAAGUUGUAACAAGGUUUCCAUAGGUGAACCUGCGGAAG
rnacentral:rRNA from 1 species